rnacentral:tRNA from 1 species
GGCCCCAUCGUCUAGCCUGGUCCAGGACGUCAGGUUCUCAUCCUGAAAACCGGGGUUCAAAUCCCCGUGGGGUCA